GUCUUUUUUAUCUUGUUUAAAGUUGUGAACUAUAUUUUCUGCAGAAAUUUGAUCUUCACCUUACCUAACCUUAACCUUAACCUUCUUAACCUUAACCCUUGUGAUGAUGACAUCACUGAUAUUGUGCUAAUUAACUCAAUUAGUAGAAACGGACAGUGUGAACUACUUUAAAAGAGAAGCAUAGCUGGAGAUAGGUUUUUUUUCAAAGUUUAUUUUACAAGUAAAAUAUAGUGAAUUUGAUUACCUCAAAAACAUAACAGAGAAUCUCUUUUUCAUGCCAUUUCUCAGUAAGGUUUUUAGCUCUUCUCAUUUAACUUUUUCUUUUCUUUAUGAAGUCCUGAGAUAAAUGAGCCAUUUCUGGAGGAACAAUCCAGAUGGCUUUUGCGGUCACCAUCCUGGAGUAUGAAUUGAGGAGGAAGGCGUUCUUUUCAAAACGAGUCACAAGCAAAACUCCUCCUGGGUUGGAUGGCAAACUCCACGCAGGAGGAGAUGAAGACAAAGACCUGGAUCUUCCCACAGAAUCUUGGGGCUUUCUCCUUCUUCCUCCUGAAAGAUUUCCAUUCUGUGAUCUUGUAUUUGAGCUGAGAUCCUACCUUCCUGUAUAUCAAGAACCUUAACAUCACAGUCAGCUCUUGAUUAUCUGAGCCAGACAGACUGGUUUGAAGAGCAAGAUAUAGCAGUGACCUGGUAAGUGCUUACCUUCCUAGAAGUACUAGGGAGCUAAGUGGAUUGCUAUUUACCCUCCCCGCCUUGGGACUAGGAGAAGGGCGACAAAAUCUGAAGCUGAGCUUAAGAGAUGAUAGAGAAGCUGAGAAUGAGAAAAUGCUCUACUUUAAAGGAGGUUGUAGGCCUAUAUGCAGAGUUAAGUUGGCAACAGAAAAAACAUUGAAUUUUUAAAUUACUUUUUCUACUUUCCUUGACAUUAUAUUGCCUUUCUUUUUUCCAGCUUCUUGAUUUAAAUGCCUAAUCUAUUAGAGAUAGUAUAUAUAUCGGGAACGAAAGAGAUGAAAAGGAAUGACUUUUUCUCUGAAUAAUGCUUUGGCUGGACCCUACAGGGUUGAAUAUGUAAUUAUUUUCUUUUUUUAAAUUACAUUCCAGAUAUUUUAUACAUAAGUUAGGAUUCUUUCUGUAGCAAAUAACAGAAAACUGACAAUUGCCUUGAGGAGUUGUUUUUCCUAAGAAGUUUGAGGUAGGAGGGUUUCAGGGCUGGUUUAUUCAGCAGUUCAAUGAUACCAUCAAUGACCCACAUUAUUCUGAUCAUUCUGUUCUGCCACCUUUAGUAUAUGGGGAUUGUUCUUAAGUAGGUUUCCUUCAUGUUGGUAAGGUGCAGCUUUGAGUGUCACAUGCCCAUGACAAUUUUCAGACAUAGAAAGGGGACAGUUUCUUUUUAGCAUUGAAGUAAACCUUUUGCGAGAAGACAUUCUUCUGACUUUCCUUCAAAGUUCAUUUGUCAGGAUGUUUCAUGUGACCAUUUCUGAUCACUAGUGGUAGUAGUGAGACCGCUAUGAUUAGAUUCAGACCAAACAAGAUUCUACCCCCUAGAAACAGGAGUGGAACCUACCUCACCUGAAACAGAUGGCUUCUUGGAGAAGAGGGAAUAUUUUAAAAAAUCAGGUAAAAUUUGAAAUAAGAAAGGAAGAAAGAAAAAAUGGUUAUUGAAAAUGCAAUCAGCAUUAGCUGCUACUUCCUGCAAUUGUAGUUUUAGUUACCUCUUAAACUUAGUAGUUAUGUAGGGUCUUAGAGAAAGUUUUAAGGUUUAAAAAUGGUCAAGGAUUUUGGUUUGUUUCUACUUAAUUUUGGAUUGUGGUUAAUAAUGUGGUUUGAUGCUUUUACUUUUUAGAAUUUUUGAGUUUAUUUUUGUUUAAGGUAUAGAGAAUAUUUGCAUUUUAUGACUACAUGAGAAGAAAAGAGUAGUUUUUGUUCUUGGGUCAAUAUUGUUAACUACAUCAUUCAGAUUUUAUAUAUUUCUAUAUUUUAUUAACUUGGUAUUUUUCUAAAUGUUCUAUUUUGGAAUAAUUUUAGAUUUACAGAAAAGUUUGCAAAAAUGGUACAGUUUCCCCACACUUACCUAGUACAGAUAGUUCCCCCUUUGUCUACCUUUCCUGAAUGUUAAUCAGCAUAACUGCAGUAUAUAUGAAAAAAACUAAGAAGUUAACAUGGGUACAAUUCUGUUAUGUAAAUCGCAGAGUUUGUUCAGAUUUUACUAAUUUUCCCACUAAUGUUUAACUUGAUCUUUAAAGACUGAGAAAGCUGUAUUAAAAUACCUCAUUGCUAUUGAAAUUUGGCCUCCUUUUACUUUGCAUUUCCGAUAAUUUUUUGGCUUCGUAUGUUUUAAUUCUGUAUAAUUUACCACAUAUAGCUUCAAGAUAAUUUUAUGUUAAUGGGAUCUUACCCUUCAUCAGUAUAAUGUGAUCUUUUAAACCCCAUUUAAUGAACUUUUUUUGAACUCAGCAUUUUCUGAGGAAGACAAACCCUGACUUUUUGUUUUUGUUUUUAAAUUUUCCUAGUAUUCCUUUCCUAUUCUUUUAUUUUCAGCUUUAUGAGUAAUUUUGUUUGAAUGUGUAUAAGUCAAGGUCCUGGCAGGAAACAGAUGCCAUGCUCAAAUUAGGUAACUUGAUGAGAAUUUAAUAAAGGGACUGUUUAGAGAGGUGUGAGCAAGGGUGUGGAGAAACCACAGGGACAGCGUAGCACCCUUGGACUUAACCACUGGGCAACAUUACCACCCCUUCUUUGCCUGACAGAGCCUGAAGAGAAGGUGCUGCCUAACGGCAGCUGUGGACCUUGGAGGCAGGAGGCAGCCCACUGUGGUGAUUCUGCACAAGGGAGCCAGGGAGAUAAUGCCCCAACCUCACUCUCCUCCCUCCUUCCCUCCCUCCCUCUCUCAGACCUCAGGCUGGUGCUUCCUAUGACCAAACCCAGCUGGAAGCUGGAGGCAAGGCCAUGUGUGAAUACAUUGGUAUUGGUUGGCCUCCUGGUUCACAAAGCAGUGGAGUGUAACAGAGUAGAUCUGGAAAGCAAAUGAAAGCGAUCUAGUAAAAGUUGUGUUGUUUUUCUAUAGAGCAUUUACGGC
rnacentral:lncRNA from 1 species